AUUGAACGCUGGCGGCAGGCUUAACACAUGCAAGUCGAGCGGGGUGAUGGUGCUUGCACUAUCACUUAGCGGCGGACGGGUGAGUAAUGCUUAGGAAUCUGCCUAUUAGUGGGGGACAACAUCUCGAAAGGGAUGCUAAUACCGCAUACGUCCUACGGGAGAAAGCAGGGGAUCACUUGUGACCUUGCGCUAAUAGAUGAGCCUAAGUCGGAUUAGCUAGUUGGUGGGGUAAAGGCCUACCAAGGCGACGAUCUGUAGCGGGUCUGAGAGGAUGAUCCGCCACACUGGGACUGAGACACGACCCAGAGUCCUACAGGAGGCAGCAGUGGAGAAUAUUGGACAAUGGGGGGAACCCUGAACCAGCCAUGCCGCGUGUGUGAAGAAGGCCUUAUGGUUGUAAAGCACUUUAAGCGAGGAGGAGGCUCUUUUGGUUAAUACCCAAGAUGAGUGGACGUUACUCGCAGAAUAAGCACCGGCUAACUCUGUGCCAGCAGCCGCCGUAA
rnacentral:rRNA from 1 species